rnacentral:rRNA from 1 species
ACGGGAGGCAGCAGUGGGGAAUAUUGCACAAUGGGGGAAACCCUGAUGCAGCGACGCCGCGUGAAGGAAGAAGUAUCUCGGUAUGUAAACUUCUAUCAGCAGGGAAGAUAAUGACGGUACCUGACUAAGAAGCCCCGGCUAACUACGUGCCAGCAGCCGCGGUAAUACGUAGGGGGCAAGCGUUAUCCGGAUUUACUGGGUGUAAAGGGAGCGUAGACGGAGAAGCAAGUCUGAUGUGAAAGGCAUGGGCUCAACCUGUGGACUGCAUUGGAAACUGUUUUUCUUGAGUGCCGGAGGGGUAAGCGGAAUUCCUAGUGUAGCGGUGAAAUGCGUAGAUAUUAGGAGGAACACCAGUGGCGAAGGCGGCUUGCUGGACGACAACUGACGCUGAGGCGCGAAAGCGUGGGGAGCAAACAGGAUUAGAUACCCUGGUA